UACGGGGGGGGCAAGCGUUGUUCGGAAUUACUGGGCGUAAAGCGCGCGCAGGCGGAUCCUGCAAGUCGGAAGUGAAAUGUGGCUGCUCAACGGCCACGCUGCUUCCGAUACUGCGGAUCUGGGGACCGGUAGAGGCUGGUGGAAUUGCAGGUGUAGCGGUGGAAUGCGUAGAGAUCUGCAAGAACACCCGUGGCGAAGGCGGCCAGCUGGGCCGG
rnacentral:rRNA from 1 species